AGCCACCAUUCAUGCCAUCGUCUCCGGCAGGUCGCCACCAAGAUCGUGAAAAAUGAGAAAAUAAAGCACCACUGCCUCUACCCUAUCGAUGCAGAGAACAAAUGAGGAUAAUGAAGUGAUAGUUUGAAAGACAGAAGCUCGACGUGAAAUAAAAAUGGUAAAGAGAGACAAACCUUGACGUAACAUGGUUUCUUCGUCAAAACUCACGACCUUUCUCCACCGGCGCCUUGCGAAAUCAGCAAUAAGUUAGGUUCUAGUCUUCCGAUCACCUUCGACCCUCCGGCGGCACUCCGCGAGAACUAGAAGCAAGCCUAGCUUUAUUUUGAGAACUAUAGCUAUGGCUAUCAAAGGAUAUUCUGGCUAUCGAAGGAGAAUUUCUAGAGCAGGCUACUGUAGAAGAUGAUAAGGAGAGACUACUCUAGCUAUGAAAAACAAGAAAACGCACACUGCCCAAAUUCGGAUGGAAU
rnacentral:lncRNA from 1 species